UACGUAGGAUGCAAGCGUUGUCCGGAAUUACUGGGCGUAAAGCGUGCGCAGGCGGUUGUGCAAGACAGAUGUGAAAUCCCCGGGCUCAACCUGGGAAUUGCAUUUGUGACUGCACGGCUAGAGUGUGUCAGAGGGGGGUAGAAUUCCACGUGUAGCAGUGAAAUGCGUAGAGAUGUGGAGGAAUACCGAUGGCGAAGGCAGCCCCCUGGGAUAACACUGACGCUCAUGCACGAAAGCGUGGGGAGCAAACAGG
rnacentral:rRNA from 1 species